GGGCGCCCUUCCUCCGGAGCGCCAAUGCCGACCUGAUUUCGCAAGCAGGGUGAACAGAAAGUUGUAUUAAUGAUCAGUAAUAGUGUCAGUUUUGCUGGCGGGGUCCUGCAUACACGCCUCCAAGACCAUUUAUUAAUAAGAUGGCUGGCUGGCUGAUGAGAAUGCGUACUUAAAAGCGCAUAGCAUCGGAAUAUCCAUUUCAUGCCCUACCUAUUAUAUGGGCUACCAGCUGUUUGCUAUUAGCUGAGACGAAGUCCUCUGCGACUGCUGUAUGCAGGACAAACUUCGUGUC
rnacentral:lncRNA from 1 species